GGACCCGCACAAGUAGUGGAGCAUGUGGUUUAAUUCGAAGAUACGCGCAGAACCUUACCAACACUUGACAUGUUCGUCGCGACUCUAAGAGAUUAGAGUUUUCGGUUCGGCCGGACGAAACACAGGUGCUGCAUGGCUGUCGUCAGCUCGUGUCGUGAGAUGUUGGGUUAAGUCCCGCAACGAGCGCAACCCUCACUUUUAGUUGCCAUCAUUUAGUUGGGCACUCUGAAAGAACUGCCAGUGAUAAGCUGGAGGAAGGUGGGGAUGACGUCAAAUCAUCACGGCCCUUACGUCCUGGGCCACACACGUGCUACAAUGGUAGGUACAGAGGGAAGCCACCCCCCGCGAGGGGGAG
rnacentral:rRNA from 1 species